GGAGAAGGUCCUCCAUCGGAAUGCACUAAAGUUGUGCAUUACCCCUGUAGCAGACCACCACCCAGAGGGGCAGGGAGUCAGCCUUGAGGGAGAGAUGCUAGUUGAGCCUCCAUUUUAUGGUUUCGUGCCCAGCACUCCAGCCCAGCAGCCGAGAGAGUUGUCAGAGGUGCGGCGCUCGACGAGGCCUAAUUUUGGUCAGCCACCCGCCCGUUACAGAUCGCUUGACUAGGGUGACAGGGACUGUCACAGAUAAUCGCGUGCACCUGUGAGGUGGAGGCGUGCCCCCGAGGUGGCCUAUUGGCCGCCAAACUGACUUAAGGGAGAUAGUGAGCGCAAAGACAGGAGAAGAGACACACGGAAAGCGAAGAGCAGGAAACCGAACGUGUGCAGACGAGCGCAUGUAUAAAAGGACCGGCCUGCCUGUGCGGCGUCACGAGACUUCCGGCGAUCGGCCAGCAUAACCCGGCGAUUCAGUUCUGACGGACAGAAUAGCAACAGUGGGAGGCGACGCGUGAAAUCCACAGUAGGGCAGAGGGACGCCUCUGCCUGCAUCCGUGAGUAUCGCUUUCCCACUGUUGGGCGCUAGGCGUGGUUUUGCCGGGGAAGGGUAACAGUGGCUGUGCCGACUACGUUGCUGGCCCGUGUUUGUUGUUUUAGGGCCGGGCUACGAGGGAAGCCGUGUGCGGGCGCGGAGAGUGGUUGGACUGCACGGUCACGCGCCGCCAGGUGGGGAUAGGAGCCUCCUCCCUGGCCUUCUGCUGGCGAGAUUUUCCCAUCCCAGAAGAGGAGCUCCCCUUCUGUCUCUUUCAGCUAAGGAACAUUUGCCCGAGUGUGUGUGGUUGGACACUGGGAAUAGAGGACUCUGGGGGGGACGUUUUAUCGUAUAAAAAGGACAUUCAUUUAGCUUUGAUUUUUUUUAAUUGUAUUUUAAUCUCUGCCGGCAGGGCUUAUUAGCGGGUUGGGAACAUUUAUUUUUAUUGUAUAGUGGGGAUUUUAACUUCUACUUGUGAUUCUGGCUGUUCUUCUAAAAAAAUAAAUGGUGUGUUUAAAGCCGGCCCAGUGUCCGUACUCCGAGCGCUGAUUCACUCUCUCCCCUUAUGCUUGUAUGUAUAUAGACGUGGUGGCGAAGAUUUAGGUCACCAGUUUAGCGGCUACAAA